rnacentral:rRNA from 1 species
CGCAUGGUAGGAGAGCGUUCCGUAAGCCUGCGAAGGUGCCUUGUAAAGGGUGCUGGAGGUAUCGGAAGUGCGAAUGCUGACAUGAGUAGCGAUAAAGGGGGUGAAAGGCCCCCUCGCCGUAAGCCCAAGGUUUCCUACGCAACGUUCAUCGGCGUAGGGUGAGUCGGCCCCUAAGGCGAGGCAGAAAUGCGUAGCUGAUGGGAAGCAGGUCAAUAUUCCUGCACCAUUGUUAGAUGCGAUGGGGGGACGGAUCGCGGAAGGUUGUCCGGGUGUUGGAAGUCCCGGUCGCUGCAUUGGAGAAGGCGCUUAGGCAAAUCCGGGCGCGUAAUUCAAGGGUGUGGCGCGAGCUCCUUAGGGAGCGAAGCAAUUGGAAGUGGUUCCAAGAAAAGCCUCUAAGCUUCAGUCUAACGAUGACCGUACCGCAAACCGACACAGGUGGGCGAGAUGAGUAUUCUAAGGCGCUUGAGAGAACUCGGGAGAAGGAACUCGGCAAAUUGGUACCGUAACUUCGGGAUAAGGUACGCCCUUGUAGCUUGACUGGCCUGCGCCAGGAGGGUGAAGGGGUUGCAAUAAACUGGUGGCUGCGACUGUUUAAUAAAAACACAGCACUCUGCAAACACGAAAGUGGACGUAUAGGGUGUGACGCCUGCCCGGUGCCGGAAGAUUAAAUGAUGGGGUGCAAGCUCUUGAUUGAAGUCCCGGUAAACGGCGGCCGUAACUAUAACGGUCCUAAGGUAGCGAAAUUCCUUGUCGGGUAAGUUCCGACCUGCACGAAUGGCGUAACGAUGGCCACACUGUCUCCUCCCGAGACUCAGCGAAGUUGAAGUGUUUGUGAUGAUGCAAUCUACCCGCGGCUAGACGGAAAGACCCCAUGAACCUUUACUGUAGCUUUGCAUUGGACUUUGAACCGAUCUGUGUAGGAUAGGUGGGAGGCUAUGAAACCGGAACGCUAGUUUCGGUGGAGCCGUCCUUGAAAUACCACCCUGGUUUGUUUGAGGUUCUAACCUUGGCCCGUGAUCCGGGUCGGGGACAGUGCAUGGUAGGCAGUUUGACUGGGGCGGUCUCCUCCCAAAGCGUAACGGAGGAGUACGAAGGUACGCUAGGUACGGUCGGAAAUCGUGCUGAUAGUGCAAUGGCAUAAGCGUGCUUAACUGCGAGACCGACAAGUCGAGCAGGUGCGAAAGCAGGUCAUAGUGAUCCGGUGGUUCUGUAUGGAAGGGCCAUCGCUCAACGGAUAAAAGGUACUCUGGGGAUAACAGGCUGAUACCGCCCAAGAGUUCAUAUCGACGGCGGUGUUUGGCACCUCGAUGUCGGCUCAUCUCAUCCUGGGGCUGUAGCCGGUCCCAAGGGUAUGGCUGUUCGCCAUUUAAAGAGGUACGUGAGCUGGGUUUAAAACGUCGUGAGACAGUUUGGUCCCUAUCUGCCGUGGGCGUUGGAUAUUUGAAGGGGGCUGCUCCUAGUACGAGAGGACCGGAGUGGACGAACCUCUGGUGUACCGGUUGUCACGCCAGUGGCAUCGCCGGGUAGCUAUGUUCGGAAGAGAUAACCGCUGAAAGCAUCUAAGCGGGAAACUCGCCUUAAGAUGAGAUAUCCCUGGGGACUAGAUCCCCUUGAAGGGUCGUUCGAGACCAGGACGUUGAUAGGUCAGGUGUGUAAGCGCAGUAAUGCGUUCAGCUAACUGAUACUAAUUGCCCGUAAGGCUUGAUCCU